GUACUCCCUUUGCUUGUUUGGAUCCGAACCCGCAACCGCGGUUGCUUGCAUUUUCCUGUAAAUGAAUAAAUCUAUCAUUCAGAGCUGUGGUACCAUUGAAUCGGACAAUUCUUGUUACCUUUUCCUGGAGCCCGACGAUGCCGCGCACGGACCGCGUGUCAUCAAAGGAUAAAUGAACAAUAACGAAUGUAUUUCGGACGUAGCAAUGGUGGAGUAAUUGUUGCCAAUUCAGGAAUAAGAGAGACAGGAGGAAAAAAUGAAUGAUUAGUAAAUCGUCGCCUUACAUCUUUUACGUUUUUCUAUAAAAUAUGGGUACAUCUGAAAUGGACUUACUUCGAUUUUUGAUCUGCCCAGUCUGACGCUGGCCUCUUAGCAAUGGACUUCAGC